ACGCUCGACACCUACGGGGGGCAGCAGUGGGGGAAUAUUGCACAAUGGGGGAAACCCUGAUGCAGCGACGCCGCGUGGAGGAAGAAGGUCUUCGGAUUGUAAACUCCUGUUGUUGGGGAAAAGAGGAUGGUACCCAACAAGGAAGUGACGGCUAACUACGUGCCANNACGCGGACGUAUNGNGGCGGNGUGAGAG
rnacentral:rRNA from 1 species